rnacentral:rRNA from 1 species
GACGAACGCUGGCGGCGUGCUUAACACAUGCAAGUCGAACGAUGAAGCCGGAGCUUGCUCUGGUGAAUUAGUGGCGAACGGGUGAGUAACACGUGAGUAACCUGCCCUUGACUCUGGGAUAACUGCUAGAAAUGGUAGCUAAUACCGGAUACGACCCUCGGAGGCAUCUCCAGGGGGUGGAAAGAAUUUCGGUCAAGGAUGGACUCGCGGCCUAUCAGCUAGUUGGUGAGGUAACGGCUCACCAAGGCGACGACGGGUAGCCGGCCUGAGAGGGUGACCGGCCACACUGGGACUGAGACACGGACCAGACUCCUACGGGAGGCAGCAGUGGGGAAUAUUGCACAAUGGGCGCAAGCCUGAUGCAGCAACGCCGCGUGAGGGAUGACGGCCUUCGGGUUGUAAGCCUCUUUUAGUAGGGAAGAAGCGAAAGUGACGGUACCUGCAGAAAAAGCACCGGCUAACUACGUGCCAGCCGCCGCGGUAA